rnacentral:rRNA from 1 species
UCUUUUCUUUGCUGGCGACCGGCGCACGGGUGAGUAACACGUACUCCACUGCCUUUACUCGGGGAUAGCCUUUCGAAAGAAAGAUUAAUACCCGAUAGCAUAAUGAUUCCGCAUGGUUUCAUUAUUAAAGGAUUCCGGUAAAGGAUGGGGAUGCGUUCCAUUAGGUUGUUGGUGAGGUAACGGCCCACCAAGCCUUCGAUGGAUAGGGGUUCUGAGAGGAAGGUCCCCCACAUUGGAACUGAGACACGGUCCAA